UGGGCAUCAAGAAGAGAGCAACCCUUUUCUUCUUGUAAUGCUAGCGGAUGGAUUACUGAAUGUUGAGGAUACAAAUAUUUUCCCCACAACAGUGGCUUCAUCAAUCCCUGAUAGGAUUAUUUUGCUAAAAGUGUGGUUUACAUUAGACUGCAUUAUGCAUAUUGUAUCCAGAGACAAGGCAGAGAAAAUUGUUUCACUGUUUAUAUUCUGCAUCAGUAGCUUAGGACUGUAUUACUGCUAGAAAUGGUAACUAUCUAUUUAAAUAUUUUGAUUGAAUUGUCUUUUCAUUAAAAAACCAAUAAUAAUAAUAAUAAUAAUAAUAAUAAUAAUAAUAAUAAUAAUAAUAAUAAUAAUAAUGAAUUAAUAAGGUUUACAGGAGCUGCAGUGGGUUAAAUGCUUGUGCCAGCUGAACUGCUGAUCUGAAGAUUGGGUUGCUGACCUGAAGGUUGCUGGUUUGGAUCCACAAGAUGGGGUGAGCUCCCAUCUGUCAGCUCUAGCUUGCAGGAACAUGAGAGAAGCCUCCCAGUUAUCACAUCCAGGCGUUCCCUGGGCAACAUCUCUGCAGACGGCCAAUUCUCUCACACCAGAAGCAACUUGCAGUAUGUUCUUGAGUCACUUUUGACAUGAUAAAGAGGGGACCUUAUCCAGAAAAAUUCUCAAUAACCUAAUUUGCUUAAUAUAUAUGUGUGGUAAUAUUUGAUAAAAAAAAUCAUGAAAUAGAAGCAUAUAUUUCUCAGGGAGGUUAAAGUAUACUCCUAUGAAAUCAUGAUCAUAAAGGGUAGCUGAAUGACAUGCUAAACCUGCAUUUAUUAACAAUGAUGAGAACCAAGAUCUUGAAUAUCUUGCAAUGUAAAACAUACCUUCCCCACAACCAAAGGAAUAUAAAAUUAAGAAUUUUGUCAAUUUUUAAGUUGGCCUUCUAAAAUAUAGUUUUCAUUCAAAUGAUAUUAAUAAUCUGAUUAUUGUUGAUUUUGCUUUAGCACUCUUCACCAUGGAAACAUUUCCAUGUUCACUCUUAAAUAUGCCUAGUUUCUUUGAGGAUUUUGAACUUCUUUGCUUUCUGUGGCAAAAUUUGCAUAUCCUAUACAACUGACCUUAUAAGAAAAUCCAGAUUUUUGUCUAGAGGCCUAUAGAAUAAAUGUUAAGCACAAGUUUAUGCUAAUAUACACAUUAGACUGUAAGCUAAAUGUUAAGGCAAUACUUCAACAGUGCAAAAACAGAAUCAAAGGUAAAUGCCAUUCUAAUAGGGCAGCUGAAUAAAUAUAUACAGUGUAAUAUAUUAAAUCCCCCCAAAAACUAUAUUAAAAAAACACAAAAGGAACUUGAUACAUAGCUUUGGGUGUAUGUAUGUCCUCAGUGUAAAAGGGGGAUUGUUAGCUGUGUAAACUUAUAUUUGCUAAGGGUGUGGAUAAUUUCAUUUGCUCCAUGUUUUUAAGUGAAUCAUACUAAUCCAUACUGUCCAGAUCAUAAAUGAAUCAGAAUGUAGUCCCUUUUUUGGAUUGCAAAUUUCUCUACAAUUUGUGAAGGCAACUUUUAAAACUAAAUUGCAUUUUACCCAUGUAGAAAACUGAAAUGAGAUAUCAUAAUACGUGUAAAGAAGAACUGGAGUAGACACAGGUAACACUGUAUUCAUUGAUCGGAACCCCCUCUUUACUAAUCAAUGCUAUUCAAAUCAUAUUUGUGUUAUUAAUGAAAAUAUUUGACAUUGCACAGGUUAAAAAACUAUCUUCACCCCAAGACACCCUCUCUCUCCUCAGCUUCCUAUUCCUCUUCUUCUGUUAUUCCAUCUCUCAAUCUCUCUAUCUACUAGUUUUCCUCUCUCCCCCUAAAACUAAUUCACUCUAUACAAUAUUUGCCUAGAUGAGAAAGUGAUUUGCUCCUCUUGCUGCAGUGCUGUUUCCAUGUUUUUUUUUCGCCCACUUCUUUUCUUUCUUGUUUUUUCCAUUUUCUUUGUUCACUACACAUAAUCUGGUGAUAGAUUCACACAAACCAAGUUUCAUGUGUCUACCUCUCACCACUAUGGAACUAUGCUGGAAACAUACAGAUAGUAUUUUCCAUACCUUUUUUAAAAAGUCUAUAUCAAAAAGCACUACAUGAAUAAAUUUAAGAUACUGGAUGUAAAUGUAAGGUGCACAACUGUAUCGAUUAAUAAAUAGAGAAUACAUAUUUAAUGCAAAAGCAUUUUAAUACUUUGUCUGGAGUUUAACAAUCACUAAUAUUUUUAUAAUGUUGAAUACUAACUAUUUUCAUCUAAUAUGCAUGUGGGGGUAAUUUUAAAAGAACUCAAACAGCAAGCAUCUCUAUGUGACUAGCCCUUGGAAAGCAAGAUAAAAAAAAAUUGUCCGUGUGUGCUUGUUUGUGUGUGUGUGUGUGUGUGUGUGUGUGUAGGAAUUGUCCAUGCUACUGCAAAGAAUGAGUUUUUGUGACAUGCAGAAAACUGUGAGACAAUCCAUUGCCUAUCGAUGAGAAGAUAUCUGGUAGAGAGUGUUUUAUAUUGGACUCCAUGUAUUAAUUCCUUUUUGUUUAUUUAUAUAUAUUUUUUCUCCCUGAUAGCUUGGUGUGCGGGCUUUUACUAAUGCCUGUGUAUAUAUUCCCCUCCUCUUCACAUCUGAUUAGUUGUAUUAUGUAUACUUCAAAAUGAAAAGGAAAACCCACAAAACCUCAACCAGAUCAGGCUGGAAUGCAGACAUAUUAUGUUUAAUAGCUACAUUAGAAAGUCGAUUAUGCAGGGAAGCACUAAUAAGUGAAAUAGCUGAGAUGGCUUUCUGCUUUUAGGCUAGCUUCAUUUCUGACUCUGAAGUAUAUUCUCUCUCUCUCUCUCAUGAUUGAAGAUGGCAGUAUUAAGCCCAACUGUGCAUGCAGACAGCUGAAUUAAUAAAGGAAAGCAAUUAGGUUUGACCAAACUAGUAGGGGAUGUUCAUAGGGUUUGCCUAGUGCAUGAUCAUAAUAAUAUAGAAAAUGUUUGUGUUUGGUGGGUGACAUAUAUUAUCUAAGCACAUGCUCACCAAACACUUUUAUUUCCCUUGGUGCCCACUUAACCCUAUUGUUUGUUUUGUUUGGGUGGGGUGGAAGGCCUUAUUCAAUGAUAUGACAAACAUAUCUAUGAAAGAAUUCAUGAGUGAAGUAAAAAUGAUCACCUGGUGAGGUUCAACUGGCACAACAGGAAUACUUUUAAGCAGUUCUAAAAAGACUGUAUUUUUAGUGGACUCUGAAAAGUGGAGGGAUGGCCAGCCAAAUUGAAACUGCCUAGGUAGGAGCAAGCAAUCUCUUGAGCUAUGAUGAAACUUCAUUAUGACCUGCUUUAGGAGCACAUGCAGCUUUGACAUUGGACUUACUCUAGUUUGUGAGAUUCUGUGUGCCCAUCAAAUAUAGUUUGGGGUAAGAUUUAAAUUAUGGGACUUACUUGUCUUCUUUUUCGGCAUCCAACAAAUGGGCUGAGUGGUUACGCCGGACCAUCUGGCAUCUGGAUCUGGAUCCAUGGCUUGUAAAACAACUGUAAAAAUGUAUAUAUGUAGUGAAGCCAUAUAAAACUGAGAUGGAAUAGGAUCUGGAUCCCAGAAGAUCAUCCCAUUAUUCGUCAACUGGCAUCAGAACACCAGUCCAUUAUAAAUGUUCUUGAAGUUCACUCCAGGUACUAGCUUAUUCUUUCCCUCUGUUAUUUCUGUUACAAUAAAGACUCUUACUGGGUGUUGUAUCCCAGCCACAGGCUGGCCACGUUCAAGAUGAUGACACUGAAGGGGACUUUGGUUUCCAAGAUGGAAUAGAAGAGGAUUCUGGUUUUGGGAUUUUGCAGCAGUCUGAGCCUCCUGUUAGAGACAUGCAGUUUCACUUUGAGCAGGAUGACCUGCUGGCCCCAGAAGAGUCAGAUAACGAUCAGGCUGACAUUCUUCCUUAGGGGGUUUUUGAGGAGGAUCCGAGAGUUGUGGAAAAUAAUGAGGAGGAAACUGGAGAACUGAGAAAUAAUGAAGGAGCCGGGGCAACUGAAGACCAGGUGCGAGACCCUGAGUUGUCCAGGCAAGACCGUUUGUCUUGGUGGGGCUCUGAGCUUCGCAGAAGUGACCGUUUGGCACGCAAAAGAGAGCUUCCGAAAGAAUCAAGCUGUGGGAAAAGAAACACCUUCCUGGGUUGCUAUUAAAAGAAGCCUGUGCAGACCAUGCCCUUUGUCAGAGCAAUUCAUCGCUUCAUCUGUUUGUAUGUUUCCCUUGCUAGCAUUUUGGAGUCUAGGGCCUUGUUUUGUGCUUUCUAAGGACAACUUUGCCUCUGGGAUUACUUUGCAUUCUUGGACCCUGCUCCUUGCCUCCUAUGGAUUAAUACCUUGCUUGGUGGAUUACUUAUAUCUCUGGACCUUGUGUUUUGGAUCCUGUGGACUAAGACUUUGUGCUUUGAACUUCAUGCUUUGGGAUUUUAUGGACUAAGACCUUGUGCUUUGAACUUCAUGGACUAACUCUGUGCUUUAUGGAUUAUUGCUAUUACUUUGCCUUUUGAACCAAUGGACCUUGCCUUUUGGACUGAUGGACAUUAAUGUACUAUUGAUUCCUUUUUACCUUUGGACUCUUUUUUUACAACAUUAAAUUAUCUUUUGAUUGCUUGCUUGAUCUAUAUUCUGCUUUGCUCUAAAUAAAGACCUUAAAAGACUAUUUGUGUGUUGACUGGGUAUCCUAGCAAGGUGAACUUAGCCUGAGGU